UACGUAGGGCGCAAGCGUUGUCCGGAAUUAUUGGGCGUAAAGAGCUCGUAGGCGGUUUGUCGCGUCUGUCGUGAAAGCUUGGGGCUUAACCCCAAGUCUGCGGUGGAUACGGGCAGACUAGAGGCAGGUAGGGGAGAACGGAAUUCCCGGUGUAGCGGUGAAAUGCGCAGAUAUCGGGAGGAACACCGGUGGCGAAGGCGGUUCUCUGGGCAUGUCCUGACGCUGAGGAGCGAAAGUGUGGGGAGCGAACAGG
rnacentral:rRNA from 1 species